rnacentral:rRNA from 1 species
AUGAACACGGUACGGGUAUUGGUCUCGUGUGCUGCAAACUUUGGGUGGAAAUUGCACCAGUUAGAUGUCAAGAAUGCCUUCUUACAUGGUGACUUGAAAGAAGAGGUAUACAUGGAGAUACCGCCAGGUUUUGGCACAGAACAGACUACGGGGAAGGUAUGCAGGCUGAAGAAAUCCUUGUAUGGUCUGAAGCAAUCGCCGAGGGCAUGGUUUGAUAGGUUCAGACGAGCUGUUUGGAAUAUGGGGUAUGGCCAAUGUAAUGGUGACCACACGGUGUUUUAUAGACACACUAAUAAGAAGAUCACCAUUGUUGCAGUGUAUGUUGAUGAUAUCAUCAUCACUGGAGAUGAUGAGGAGGAAAUAAAGAGAGUGAAGGGGUGUUUGAGCAAGGAGUUUGAGGUAAAAGACUUAGGAAAUCUAAAGUACUUCCUUGGCAUAGAAGUGGCCCGGACAGAGAAGGGAAUAUCUUUGUGCCAACGAAAAUACACCUUGGAUCUUUUGAGUGACAUGGGCAUGAUGGGAUGUCGUGCAGCCCCUACUCCAAUUGAACAAAAUCAUCAAGUAACAGCACAAUCAGGUGAGCUAGUGAAUAAGGAAGAUUAUCAGAAGCUGGUUGGGAGGUUAUUGUACUUGUGUCAUACUAGGCCUGACAUUACGUAUGCCGUGGGGGUGGUGAGCAGAUACAUGCAUGAACCAAGGAGAGGGCAUCUUGAUAUUGUUCACAGAAUCCUGAGAUACUUGAAGGGGACUCCGGGUAAAGGGUUGUGGUUUGCGAAGAGUGGACAUCUUGAGGUGGAUGGCUAUAGUGACUCUGAUUGGGCUAGCUGUCAAGAUGAUAGACGAUCAACUUCAGGUUACUGUGUGUUUGUGGGAGGAAAUUUGGUGUCAUGGAGAAGCAAGAAACAGAAUGUUGUGUCUAGAUCAACAGCAGAAGCUGAAUAUAGAGCAUUAUCUCAAGGGUUGUGUGAUAUGCUCUGGGUGAAGCACCUACUAUGCGAGUUGAAACUCUUGAGGAAGGGACCCUUAAGGGUGUGGUGUGACAAUCAGUCAGCUAUAGCCAUUGCUAAUAACCCAGUUCAACAUGAUAGGACGAAGCAUGUGGAAAUUGAUCGCUUCUUCAUUAAAGAGAAACUUGAUGCUGGGAUCAUCAGCCUUACUCAUGUCAGCUCUGGGCAGCAGUUUGCAGAUUGCUUGACAAAGGGACUGGGAACAAAGGACUGUAACUUGGCGUGUGACAAGAUGGGGAUGAUAGAUAUCUACCACCCAUCUUGA